AUUGAACGCUGGCGGCCGGCCUAACACAUGCAAGUCGAACGAGUGGCGGACGGGUGAGUAAUGUCUGGGACACUGCCUGAUGGAGGGGGAUAACUACUGGAAACGGUGGCUAAUACCGCAUACUAUCGGAUGUACCCAGAUGGGAUUAGCUUGUUGGUGGGGUAACGGCUCACCAAGGCGACGAUCCCUAGCUGGUCUGAGAGGAUGACAAGCCACACUGGAACUGAGACACGGCCCAGACUCCUACGGGAGGCAGCAGUGGGGAAUAUUGCACAAGGGGCGCAAGCCUGAUGCAGCCAUGCCGAGUGUAUGAAGAAGGCCUUAGGGUUGUAAAGUACUUUCAGCGGGGAGGCGUUACCCGCAGAAGAAGCACCGGCUAACUCCGUGCCAGCAGCCGCGGUAAUUC
rnacentral:rRNA from 1 species